GUGCCAGCCGCCGCGGUAAUACGUAGGUGGCAAGCGUUAUCCGGAAUUAUUGGGCGUAAAGCGCGCGUAGGUGGUUUUUUAAGUCUGAUGUGAAAGCCCACGGCUCAACCGUGGAGGGUCAUUGGAAACUGGAAAACUUGAGUGCGGAAGAGGAAAGUGGAAUUCCAUGUGUAGCGGUGAAAUGCGCAGAGAUAUGGAGGAACGCCAGUGGCGAAGGCGACUUUCUGGUCUGUAACUGACGCUGAUGUGCGAAAGCGUGGGGAUCAAACAGGAUUAGAUA
rnacentral:rRNA from 1 species